CCUACGGGCGGCAGCAGUGAGGAAUAUUGGUCAAUGGACGAGAGUCUGAACCAGCCAAGUAGCGUGAAGGAUGACUGCCCUAUGGGUUGUAAACUUCUUUUAUAAAGGAAUAAAACGAGGCACGUGUGCCUUUUUGCAUGUACUUUAUGAAUAAGGAUCGGCUAACUCCGUGCCAGCAGCCGCGGGAAUACGGAGGAUCCGAGCGUUAUCCGGAUUUAUUGGGGUUAAAGGGAGCGUAGAUGGGUUGUUAAGUCAGUUGUGAAAGUUUGCGGCUCAACCGUAAAAUUGCAAUUGAUACUGGCAGUCUUGAGUGCAGUUGAGGUAGGCGGAAUUCGUGGUGUAGCGGUGAAAUGCUUAGAUAUCACGAAGAACCCCGAUUGCGAAGGCAGCUUACUAAACUGUGACUGACAUUGAUGCUCGAAAGUGUGGGUAUCGAACAGGAUUAGAUACCCCAGUAGUC
rnacentral:rRNA from 1 species